UACGGAGGGUGCAAGCGUUAUCCGGAUUCACUGGGCUUAAAGGGCGCGUAGGAGGGCAGGUAAGUCAGUGGUGAAAUCUUCGAGCUUAACUCGGAAACUGCCGUUGAUACUAUCUGUCUUGAAUACCGUGGAGAUGAGCGGAAUAUGUCAUGUAGCGGUGAAAUGCUUAGAUAUGACAUAGAACACCGAUUGCGAAGGCAGCUCGUUACACGAAUAUUGACUCUGAGGCUCGAAAGCGUGGGUAGCAAACAGG
rnacentral:rRNA from 1 species